GACGAACGCUGGCGGCGUGCUUAACACAUGCAAGUCGAACGGAAAGGCCCUGCUUUUUUGGUGUUCUCGAGUGGCGAACGGGUGCGUAACACGUUAGUAACCUGCCCUUGACUUUGGGAUAACUUCUGGAAACUGGGGCUACUACCGGAUCGCAUCUCCUGCUGCAUGGUGGGGGUUGGAACGUUUCGGCGGUUGGGGAUGGACUCGCGGCUUAUCAGCUUGUUGGUGGGGUAGUGGCUUACCAAGGCUUUGACGGGUAGCCGGCCUGAGAGGGUGAACGGCCACAUUGGGACUGAGAGACGGCCCAGACGCCUACGGGAGGCAGCAGUGGGGAAUAUGGCACAAUGGGCGGAAGUGUGAUGCAGCAACGCCGCGGGCGGGAUGACGGCCUUCGGGUUGUAAACCGCUUUCGCCUGUGACGAAGCGGGAGUGACGGUAAUGGGUAAAGAAGCACCGGCUAACUACGUG
rnacentral:rRNA from 1 species